UCAAACCCCCGUAACUGACGGAAUCAAGGUGGAUACCACCGGGGAGCGGGGUUACUGAAAUAUGAUCGCCGACCGUCUGGGCAGAGAGA
rnacentral:ncRNA from 2 species